GUCCAUGCAAAGCUUCUGAAGGCCUCCCCAAAGAUUGUGUAUGAAAAGAUUGUCGCUCCUGAAUUGAAGGAACUUGAACAGCAACUUAAAGACGCCAAAUCUGAAAUGUCUGGUGAAGAAUGCUUCAUAGAAAGCGCCAUAUGCCUUUUGCAGG